UGAGCAGUACACUUGGGCUGUGACACGGGGAAGUGAUGCCUGUACUGACAGCCCAGGGGACAAACCCUCAGCCUGGAGCACGCCCUUCCUGUGAGCGCCGUCUGCUCUCUUGGCCAGUUCCUCGCGCUCAGACAGAGCUGGCUGUUGUCUCCUGAGGGCGUUGGUGCUGGGAGCCACCACCAAACAUCACCCCUGUGGUGAGGUGCGGGGUUCCAGGCAGCCUGGCUCACCCCUGGGCUUUUUUGCGUUGUCAUCCUCCCCACAGCAGGGAGAGGAAAGCCACAGGAGCCAGGUCUGUGGUAGUGGUGGCCUUGGUGGCCUGCCCUACGCACUUUUUGUGGCUGUUCUGGGUCCAGCCUUGCAGUUGAUGUUUGCUGGGCAUUGCGCCAGUCCUCGAGAGUGUCCGUGUCAGGUGGAACCCACUGCCUUGCUGCCAGCACCUGGAAGGUAAAAGGACCCAGCUGGAUGCUCUUCCUCUGCUGGGUGAAGGAGACCUGGAAACCCCAGUGCUGGGGCUGUGGGGAGCACUCAGAGUGGUGCCUGUGGGGGUUUGUCAGCUCCCACUCCCUUGAACAUGGCUGGGCAGAGAGGAGCACUGUCCCUGCUCCUGCCCUGGCCCCUGCUGCUGCUGCUGCUGCUGAGCCUCACCUGCCUCUCCGUGCUGCACCUGGCUCUGGAGACCACUGUCAUGGGUGUGACAGCAACUGUGUCUCCACCUCUCCCUACUUCCUCAACACCUAUGGAGAGCUCAACACUGCUGCCUACCACUGACUCCAAGACCACAGCCACCCUCCUUUCCUCCAGCCCUGAAACAGAAUCCUCCACCCUAGAGGAGUCCAGCACAUCCGAAGAGACUGGCAACACCUCACCUCCCAGUGUGCCUCCUCCCUCCUCUUCAGCUGAGUCCAUGACAAGCCUGGCAGCCACAGACAGCUCUGUUAUCAACACAUCAGACCCCAUGAGCACUUCUUCAACCGACCCAGAUGGGACCACCCCUGACAUAUUCCCCUCAACUGUGGAGUCAACUCCAGACACUGAGCCCUCUUCCCCUGCCACCAGCUCAGCCCAGACCUCAGAGGCUACUACCCUCAGCACGUCUACAGAGCUGCCGACAACCUGCCCCUCUGGCUCGUCCAACACCAGUUCAUCUCACCUCUUUCUGUCACUGCGGCUAAGCACCCCUCUGGACCUGGGGAACACCACGGUGCAGGAGCUGGUGUUGUCCAAGCUCCGUGAGAACCUGCAAACAGCAUUCCCGUGUGCUGGCCUGUCACUGGCGUGGCGAGGGAAGAGGAGAACUUGACCACUGCCCCUCGCCUGGACUGCCAAGCCACCUGCUCCCAGCUCCUCACUCCGUGGUGGUGCAGGCCCCUGGGGAAUCCCACACAGCUCCUCUUGAACCUGGGGCUUCCUGUCUUUCACUCUGUACCCCCAGUCCCCUCCUGCCCCUUCCCACAGCCUGUCUGAAGAGCCUGAGCCCUCCCACCACCCUGCUCCAGACCUGGUUCCUGUGGUGGGAACCCCUCCAGCUCUGCUGGGGGGCUGGGAGAAGGGAACCCCACGGGACUGGGAUUUUACACCUGGGACUGAGCUGGCUCAGCCAUCAAAGCCACUCUGGGGACAGAGGAAUGAGGGGAAGGAGACCUGAAGCCCCCAGUACUGCUGUGCCCAAGGCUCACCUGUGAUAUUGCUGACAGAGAAGAACACCCAUGCUGGGCAGUAAAUAGAAAUUCCAUGUUUUCUGUGUUGAAGUGAUGACUUCUUUAUUUUCCAAGUUGUCUUUCCCAGUUUUCAGCUUUGCCAUCUAUUGGAGGUAGCGGUGAGGAAAACUGAGUCCCAAAAGCUUUGUGUGGAGAGACGGGCUCAGGGCUGUCCCCUCCCACCAGGGGCUGCUGCAGACAUUCCCAAGGAUGGCUCAACAGCCUGGUGGUCUCUGCUUUGGAGCUCUCUGCCCCAUGACACCCCACAGCUGCAGGGGCAGCACUGUGCACUGUGGGGCUGUGGAAAUCCCACGGGCUACUCUCCUUUCCUAUUUUUUCCAGUCCCCAACUAAGGAGAAGGCUGUAAUGUCUGUCCCCCUGCAGCAAAGUCAUUUAUUAACUGAUUAAUUAACCAGAUAAAAUCCAACUGAAGCAAUUAUUAGCCUAAGUAAGCCACCUCACCUGGAGAUUGAAAACUGAAAUAAUUAGCAAAAUAGCCUUGUUGCGUGUCAG
ensembl:lncRNA